rnacentral:lncRNA from 1 species
AUGAUCUCUCCUGUAUUAUUUUCCAGGAUGUCCAGAGGCUGGCAGUGGGAAGACAGGUGUGGAUUAGUUGGGAUGCAUGUUGGAUGACUUCUCCUGUAUUAUUUUCCAGGAUGUCCAGAGGCUGACAGUGGGAAGAUGGGAGUUGUGAUGGAGUUUAGAUGCUCUCUCCAGUCUCUCGUUUUCCCAGGAUGUCCAGAAGCUGACAGUGGGAAGACAGUUUUCCAGGAUGUCCAGAGGCUGACAGUGGGAAGACAGGUGUGGACGGGGAGUUGGGAGGGAGGUGAGGAGCUCUCUGCUGUCUGUAUUUCUUCCUCUGUGGCGUCUCUCUGCUCGUCUCUCUCUCAGUCCAGCUGCAUGUGGUCUGUGAAACAGCAGCUUCGCAGUGCUGAGCUGGGAUUAGGACCGGUGGGUUGCAGAGUUCAGGGUUCGAUUCCAGAGGGGGACACAGCUCUUGUAUCCCAGAGACAGGUGCUUCAGUUACUGUUCUGA